rnacentral:rRNA from 1 species
CACGGGGUUGCGAGCGUUGUCCGGAAUUACUAGGCGUAAAGGGCAGGCAGGCGGAUCCAUAAGUUUAUCGUUUAAGGCGUCGGCUUAACCGGCGUAGGGCGGUAGAUACUGUGGAUCUGGAAUGCGGUUGGGGAAGACAGAAUUCCUGGUGUAGCGGUGGAAUGCGCAGAGAUCAGGAGGAAUACCGAAUGCGAAGGCAGUCUUCCAAGCCGUUAUUGACGCUCAACUGCGAAGGUGUGGGUAUCAAACAGGAUUAGAUACCCUGGUAGUCCCU